UACGGAGGGUGCAAGCGUUAUCCGGAUUUACUGGGUUUUAAGGGUGUGUAGGCGGACUUUUAAGUCAGCGGUGAAAUCUCCGGGCUCAACCCGGAAACUGCCAUUGAUACUAUUGGUCUUGAAUAUUGUGGAGGUGGGCGGAACGGGUCAUGUAGCGGUGAAAUGCUUAGAGAUGACCCGGAACACCGAUUGCGAAGGCAGCCCACUACGCAAUGAUUGACGCUGAGGCACGAAAGCGUGGGGAUCAAACAGG
rnacentral:rRNA from 1 species